ACAAUUUGAGCUCAAUUUCUUGCUUUCAGAUUACUUGUUGAACGCAUCUUUGCUCAGUACAUGGUCCCUCACAACUUGGAAACAAAUGAAAGAAUGAAAUGUUUGUAUUACCUUUACGCAACACUGGAUUCAAAUGCUGUAAAAGCAUUGAAUGAAAUGUGGAAAUGUCAGAAUCUGCUACGACAUCAAGUAAAAGAUUUGGUUGACCUAAUAAAA